AAAGAAAUAAUAUUAUAAAGCUUCUAACUUUUACUAAAGCAUUAAUUUGUUUAU
rnacentral:tRNA from 1 species